AAAAAAAGGUAAAUUAAAAGGCUACUUCAAUUUGGGUAUAAGGGUGGUUGGAAAGAUUGAACUCAUUCCUUCCUUCUAUCUUCUGGGCAACCAAAAGCUUUAUCAGGUAUGCAAUUGGUUAGCAGGUCACUCUCAGAUGACAGGACAAUUUUUCCCCUUUCUUUUGUUGUCUUAAAAAUGCUUCUAAUAGUGAUUCAAUCAAGUGUGGCUCAUCUAAGGGAGAUAUCGUCAAGGGGUCCAUCAAUUGGUGAUGUCAAUUCCAGAAAUUAUAUAUAGCUCACCAGAUAGAGAUAAUGAAUGGGACUUGCUUGGAACAAUGCAGGUUGUCUUGAUCUUGCUUAGUGGAACUACUUUGUCUCUUUGUUAUCUGGAUUAUGGGUUUUAAUACUACUUCAAACAUAGAUAUUUUUUGUGAGCUUCCACAUAUUAUAUUGCAAACCCUUAUCUGGAUGUCAUUUGUGAAGAAUGAGCAUAUUGCCUAACUUGCCUUUGUCAAUGGGGUCCCCCAGAGUUUCAUUUAUUGUGUUGCUUGUUGUAUGCUGAAGUUUUGGCUUUACUUAUGUCCUGACACUUGUAUCCAUAGAAUAAUUUGCCAAUACGAAAGGCUUUUUAAGAUUUGCAGAGAUGAUUAGCUUAGAUAUAUCACUAAUCUCCAUAUCAUAGUUAAUUAAGUGCAUUUGUUCUUGUUUUUAGUGCCUCGUCUAGGU
rnacentral:misc_RNA from 1 species